rnacentral:rRNA from 1 species
AACGAACGCUGGCGGCAGGCCUAACACAUGCAAGUCGAGCGGUAAGGCCCUUUCGGGGGUACACGAGCGGCGAACGGGUGAGUAACACGUGGGUGACCUGCCCUCAGCUCUGGGAUAAGCCUGGGAAACCGGGUCUAAUACCGGAUAUGACUCCAUGACGCAUGUUGUGGGGUGGAAAGCCUUGUGCGGCUGAGGAUGGGCCCGCGGCCUAUCAGCUUGUUGGUGGGGUGAUGGCCUACCAAGGCGACGACGGGUAGCCGGCCUGAGAGGGCGACCGGCCACACUGGGACUGAGACACGGCCCAGACUCCUACGGGAGGCAGCAGUGGGGAAUCUUGCGCAAUGGGCGAAAGCCUGAUCCAGCAAUGCCGCGUGAGUGAUGAAGGCCUUAGGG